AUUCCAGCUCCAAUAGCGUAUAUUAAAGUUGUUGCAGUUAAAAAGCUCGUAGUUGAACUUCGGAACCGGUCGAUUGGUCCGUCCUCUGGAUUGUGUACUGAUCGAUCUGUUCUUCUUCGCGAAGACCGCGUGUGCCCUUAACUGGGUGUGCACGGGAUUCACGACGUUUACUUUGAAAAAAUUAGAGUGUUCAAAGCAGGCAUUCGCUUGAAUAUCUCAGCAUGGAAUAAUAGAAUAGGACUUUGGUCUUAUUUUGUUGGUUUCCGAGACCGAAGUAAUGAUUAAUAGGGACAGUUGGGGGCAUUCGUAUUUCAUUGUCAGAGGUGAAAUUCUUGGAUUUAUGAAAGACGAACUUCUGCGAAAGCAUUUGCCAAGGAUGUUUUCAUCA
rnacentral:rRNA from 1 species